GGGUGAAAUCUGAAUUGAAGAGAAGUGGGUUAGGUGAGAUUUAUCCUUUCGCAGCCUAAUCUGGCCUCAACGCAGUGAGUUGAACUCGGUGGAGGUGACUUUCUCGACUGUGAUCUGGGUUGAGAACUUGGGAUCCAAUCGAUUUGCAAGCAGAUUGAAGUCGCACUCCCAGAUGCAACCUUGGUCAUCCGGGGCGAAGCAUCGAGACGUACCUGCAUUUCCAGGGAUAUGGUGAUAACAAGGAGACCGCCGAUACAAAAAGGGAUACUGCAAACACAAUACCAGGGAUAUGUUGAAGGUAUGGGCUGAGAAAGAAAAGAGGAAUCUGGACCGGUCGGUGAAAAAUGGAAUCAAUUGCCAAACUGCAGUUGUUAUAAAAGAUCAUGCCCUGGUCAUGGAAUUCAUAGGCAUAUUCUACUUACUUCAUGAGCAAGUAUUGUUUCGGUGCCGCAUGUGCUACUUGAGUCAAUUGUCAACCACUCCACCUUUGUCUUGGAACGCAGGUUGGCCAGCACCUCGUCUCAAAGAUGCUGCACUGUCUUUAGAAGCUACGAAAAGGAUGUAGUGAGAGUGGCAGAGGAAGCAGAAACAAUUGGCAGCAGAGAACUGGUAGUGCCAAUAAACUCAUGAACCACAUUUUCGGUCCAUUUCUAUUUUAUGUUAUUAAUUUGACUUGUAGUAAAGUUUGUAAAUUUCAAUUAAUAUUUGUUGGAGCAGGUCAUAGAAAUUCAGAAUGGAUUUUUGUCAUAAGCGUGUUAGAGAGGAACAGAGGAGGAAGAAAUAUAGAGAAAAUGAAAGGGUUUCUGGUU